UACAGAGGUCUCGAGCGUUUAGGCGGAAUCACUGGGCUUAAAGCGUGUGUAGGCGGAUCGUUAAGUGCCUUGUGAAAUCCCACGGCUCAACCGUGGAACUGCUUGGCAUACUGGCGGAUCUUGAGCAACCUAGGGGCGAGCGGAACAAAUGGUGGAGCGGUGAAAUGCGUAGAUAUCAAUUUGGAACGCCAAUGGGUGAAAACAGCUCGCUGGGGGGUUUGCU
rnacentral:rRNA from 1 species